CCGACGAUACAGGGUGAUAGUCCCGUAGUUGACGACGUGUGUUCAGUGAAAUCGAGUAGGGCGGGACACGUGAUAUCCUGUCUGAAUAUGGGGGGACCAUCCUCCAAGGCUAAAUACUACUGACUGACCGAUAGUGAACCAGUACCGUGAGGGAAAGGCGAAAAGAACCCCUGUGAGGGGAGUGAAAUAGAACCUGAAACCGUGUACGUACAAGCAGUAGGAGCA
rnacentral:rRNA from 1 species